rnacentral:rRNA from 2 species
GCGGCGUGCCUAAUACAUGCAAGUCGAGCGAAUUGAUGGGAGCUUGCUCCCUGAUAUUAGCGGCGGACGGGUGAGUAACACGUGGGUAACCUGCCUGUAAGAUUGGGAUAACUCCGGGAAACCGGAGCUAAUACCGGAUAAUAUGUUGAACCGCAUGGUUCAAAAUUGAAAGAUGGUUUCGGCUAUCACUUACAGAUGGACCCGCGGCGCAUUAGCUAGUUGGUGAGGUAACGGCUCACCAAGGCAACGAUGCGUAGCCGACCUGAGAGGGUGAUCGGCCACACUGGGACUGAGACACGGCCCAGACUCCUACGGGAGGCAGCAGUAGGGAAUCUUCCGCAAUGGACGAAAGUCUGACGGAGCAACGCCGCGUGAACGAUGAAGGCCUUCGGGUCGUAAAGUUCUGAUGUUAGGGAAGAACAAGUACCAGAGUAACUGCUGGUACCUUGACGGUACCUAACCAGAAAGCCACGGCUAACUACGUGCCAGCAGCCGCGGUAAUACGUAGGUGGCAAGCGUUGUCCGGAAUUAUUGGGCGUAAAGCGCGCGCAGGUGGUUUCUUAAGUCUGAUGUGAAAGCCCACGGCUCAACCGUGGAGGGUCAUUGGAAACUGGGGAACUUGAGUGCAGAAGAGGAAAGUGGAAUUCCAAGUGUAGCGGUGAAAUGCGUAGAGAUUUGGAGGAACACCAGUGGCGAAGGCGACUUUCUGGUCUGUAACUGACACUGAGGCGCGAAAGCGUGGGGAGCGAACAGGAUUAGAUACCCUGGUAGUCCACGCCGUAAACGAUGAGUGCUAAGUGUUAGAGGGUUUCCGCCCUUUAGUGCUGCAGCAAACGCAUUAAGCACUCCGCCUGGGGAGUACGGUCGCAAGACUGAAACUCAA